rnacentral:tRNA from 1 species
AGUUUAGUAGUUAAAAUAAAAAUAUUAAGUUGCAAACUUAAAGUUAUAAUUUUAGUUAUUUAAGCUA